UACGUAGGGUGCGAGCGUUAAUCGGAAUUACUGGGCGUAAAGCGUGCGCAGGCGGUUUUGCAAGCCGGAUGUGAAAUCCCCGGGCUUAACCUGGGAAUGGCAUUCGGGACUGCAAGGCUGGAGUGCGGCAGAGGAGACUGGAAUUCCUGGUGUAGCAGUGAAAUGCGUAGAUAUCAGGAGGAAUACCGAUGGCGAAGGCAGGUCUCUGGGCUGACACUGACGCUCAUGCACGAAAGCGUGGGGAGCAAACAGG
rnacentral:rRNA from 1 species